rnacentral:rRNA from 1 species
UACGAAGGGGGCUAGCGUUGCUCGGAAUCACUGGGCGUAAAGAGUGCGUAGGUGGUUGGAUAAGUUAGGUGUGAAAUCCUGGCUCAACCUAGGAACUGCGCUUAAAACUGUUCGGCUAGAGUAUUGUAGAGGAUAGUGGAAUUUCCAGUGUAGCGGUGAAAUGCGUAGAUAUUGGAAGGAACACCAGUGGCGAAGGCGACUAUCUGGGCAAAUACUGACACUGAGGCACGAAAGCAUGGGGAGCAAACAGG